CAGUCGCCACGGGAAUACGAAGGGGGCUAGCGUUGUUCGGAUUUACUGGGCGUAGAGCGCACGUAGGCGGAUCGAUCAGUCAGGGGUGAAAUCCCAGAGCUCAACUCUGGAACUGCCUUUGAUACUGUCGAUCUGGAGUAUGGAAGAGGUGAGUGGAGUUCCGAGUGUAGAGGUGAAAUUCGUAGAUAUUCGGAGGAACACCAGUGGCGAAGGCGGCUCACUGGUCCAUUACUGACGCUGAGGUGCGAAAGCGUGGGGAGCAAACAGGAUUAGAUACCCGCGUAGUCCCUGUCUCUUAUAC
rnacentral:rRNA from 1 species